rnacentral:snRNA from 1 species
GUGCUCGCUUCAGCAGCACGUAUACUAAAAUUGGAAUGAUAGAAGAUUAGCAUAGCCCCGGCACAAACAUGACAUGCAAAUUCAUGGAGCAUUCCAUAUUUUU